UACGGAGGGUGCAAGCGUUAAUCGGAAUUACUGGGCGUAAAGCGUGCGCAGGCGGUUUGUUAAGUCUGCUGUGAAAUCCCCGAGCUCAACUUGGGAAUUGCAGUGGAUACUGGGCAGCUAGAGUGUGUCAGAGGAUGGUGGAAUUCCCGGUGUAGCGGUGAAAUGCGUAGAGAUCGGGAGGAACAUCAGUGGCGAAGGCGGCCAUCUGGGACAACACUGACGCUGAAGCACGAAAGCGUGGGGAGCAAACAGG
rnacentral:rRNA from 1 species